rnacentral:rRNA from 1 species
UGAAGAAUAUUGCGCAAUGGGGGCAACCCUGACGCAGCAACGCCGCGUGAAGGAUGAAGGUUUUCGGAUUGUAAACUUCUUUUAUCAAGGACGAAGGACGUGACGGUACUUGAUGAAUAAGCCACGGCUAACUACGUGCCAGCAGCCGCGGUAAUACGUAGGUGGCAAGCGUUAUCCGGAUUUACUGGGUGUAAAGGGCGAGUAGGCGGGCAGACAAGUCAGAUGUGAAAUCUGGGGGCUUAACCCCAAACUGCAUUUGAAACUGUAGGUCUUGAGUGAUGGAGAGGCAAGCGGAAUUCCUAGUGUAGCGGUGAAAUGCGUAGAUAUUAGGAGGAACACCAGUGGCGAAGGCGGCUUACUGGACGGUAACUGACGUUGAGGCUCGAAAGCGUGGGGAGCAAACAGGAUUAGAUACCC